UGUUGCGUGCGCUGGGUCGGCUUCCCCGCCUCCCCGCCGCGGCGAGCGUGCCGGGCGCUCGGUGGGCAGCGCAGGAAGGGGGAGAGCUGCGGUCGCCACUGCGUCGUCUUUACCCCGCGUCCCCUCGUUGGUCUCCGACCCCGUGUCUCCGUGGGGGUGGGCAUGCUCUGUUGCCGCACUGAAUGAGGGGCGUGUGGUUGGGGAAGGAGCCGAGGCCCCGGCCGCAAGAGGCGUGGAUUCUCGUCCCGGCCCUGCCGCUAGUUCGUUGUAUGACCUUGGGUUAACCACCUGUCCGCAGUUUCCUCAUCUGUCCAAUGACUCUGAUGCGGGUAAUGCCUGCUUUGCCUACUCUCAAGGAUUCGAUGCGAGGACACCAUGCAGUGCCCUGUGAUUGAUAAAUAGAUCGCUGAUCUCUUAUGCGUGGAGGGUAGUCGGUAGCUGACCUUUUGCGCUUAUCAGACCCCAGAGGUCUGGACGAGGCUGGAGAAGGGGCGUCCUGGGCUUCCUCUGCAGGGUCACGGAGGGAGGGCAUCGCUGGUCUGAAUCAUUAGCCUGGCAGUGGAAUGGAAGGGGACAGUCUCGGGCGGACCACGUUCACCGUAUCGAGCCUAACCGGCCAACACCUUGUCGCAGUGGUCUUGACAGUUGCCAGAGAAGGCGGCAGUGCCUCCGGGUCCUCACUAGGUGGCACUAUCGCAAAGGACAAAGCUGGUUGCAGAGACCAGGAGCUGGCGUUUCUCUGCCAAGGGCAGGCGUUAGCCUGUAGUAGGGCCGGGUGAACUUGGCAGAGCCGACUCAGCGCUCUCAUGGUCCUUACGUUCUAGUGCAAAGAGUCAGAUGCUAGACGAAUGAAUGGCCAGAAGAUCAGACUGGUCAUGUGUUAUCGGAGUGAGCAGAUAUGUUUGUCAGGGGCAGAGUGAGCAACCUUUUCCUUUGACUCGCUCCCAGAAGCGUAGCAUUCUUGUUGUCGGCUCAACAGAUACAUCCCGAGCACUUGCACUUUGCCAGGAACUGAGGUGGGCACUGGGGCUGCAGAGACAAAUAAGAUACGGUCCCUGUGGUGGGUACCUGGCCUCAUUCCUGGCACAAAGGAGGGGCUCCUUACAUGGCAGCUGCUACUCCAUCAUUUUUGUUGUAUUGCUUGUUCCUGCCCUCAGGAGCACACGGUAAUGGAUGAACCGGAGCCGGAUAUAAUCAACUGUAAUACAGUGCUACGGACAAUAGGGGUUGAGAAAGGUAAGGGCCUGGAAGGGUGAAAUUAGGAUUAAUCCCAAGAAAGAAUGUGAAAGUAGAAGUUACUUAGAUGGAAGUGGGGUGACAGUCUGAAAGAUCUCGGCCCUGGAGUGGAAAGGUUGAGAAAAAAGGCCUUAAGACAAAGGAGGAAUGAUUUAGAAGGACUGGCUGAGAGCAUGGACUCAGCCUAGGAGAUUGUGGAGAUACCGACCGCUUUAGCCUGAGGCCCCAGGGUGAGCCUGACAGUAUGGCUCUUUCUGGAGGUCAAUUUAGCAACACAUAAUUAAAUAAUCAUAAACUUUAAAACCUCCGACCCAGCAAUUUCACUUGGAAAUUAUUAAAGGUAUGUACAAAAUGUACCCACAACGGAAUACUGUGCAACUGUUAAAAAUAGUCAUCAAGGAGUGCUUACUGAUAUUUAGAUGUUCGAGAAAAUGUAAAUGAAAAGGGAAGCUUACAAAGCUAUAUUACAGCGCGCUCCUUUUUAAAAAGUAAAAUUAUGCGAUUCAGUUACGUACCCAGUAGAAAUGCAUAUGUUUGUAUGCCAAAACAUGAAUAAGAAUGUUCAUAGAAAUAUUUUUGAUAGUCAAAGUAGGAAACAAGGCAAAUAAGUGAUGGUAUGUUCAUAGAAUGGAAUACCCUCCAGCAGUGAAGAUGAAUAAACCACAACUGCAUUCAGCCAUGUCUGUGAUUCUUACUACCGGAACGUUUUUAAAAAAAUGCACACAAAAGAUCAUGAUUCCAUUGAUAUGAAUUCAUCAGGCAAAGUUACUCUGUGCUGUGGGAAGUCAGAAUAGUGAUUCCUUUUUCUUAGUCAUUUUUUUUUAAUCGUGAGAAAAUACGAACAACACAAAAUGUACCAUUUCAACCAUUUUAAAGUGAACAAUUCAGUAUAUUCGCAGUGUUGUGCGCCCAUGAUCUUUCUCUAGUUCAAGAACUUUAAGCAGUACCCAGUGAGCAGUCACUCCCUUUCCUCCCGGCCUUCACCACGUUGUUUUUGAAGAGGAGGGAAUAAUGACUUGGGUGGGGCGGUCGGGGGGACCUAAUGAGGACUCCCGGAUAUUAGUAGUAGUCUGUUUUUUUAAAAUCUAGGUGGGAAUUAUAUGGCUGUGUUCAUGUUGUGAGAAUUUUAUCUAGCUGCACACUUAUAAUUCAUAUAAUUUUUGUAUGUACAUCUAAGUGCCAUUUGGAGAUAAAUUGAUCGUAACGCCUUUCGAGAGACAAUGUUCCUUACCGCCAGAGGCAAGGAGAGUGGCACUAAACUGCCUGGUCCCUGUUUUGCCUCAGGGCUGAUACUUCUGCGUCUGUCAUCACUCCGUGCGGUCCUAGACCUGGCCUCUCCCUCUGGCUGACCUUCUUCCUGGAGGAUGUGGAAGGGGCACGUGUGGGAGACACAGGGGAGGGGGGGGUUCCAUCUCUCCUUGGCCACUGGGUGGUGCUGAGAGGACUCGCUCCCUGCCAGGCUGGAAUUAAUCUUGAAGUAAAAGCUGGGGAAUUUGAAAAGAGAAGGUAGAGGCCAAGGUGAGCAGGCAGCCUGGACCGGCCUGACGGGAGCACCAGGGAGCAACCACGGGCCUCGAGCGAGCAAACGAUGCUCAGCUCUGUCAAAUUAGAGACAAGCCACACUCCAGGGAGACGUUUUCAGGAAAGAAGACUCCUUCAAUCACUCAGCCUCCACCAAAAGAGGAAAGCACUAAGUAUUGCCUACACACAACCUCUAGGUUCUGACCCAGCUUUGGGGCUUUAGCACCCCUCCACCGCCCCGUGAACCACCCUCCUUUCGCGUCGCAUAAGCGGGACCAGCAGAAGAAUAUCUCCCCCAAAGACCCCUUUUUUCUGGGACCCAGCGCUUCCGCCUCCGGGGCGGAGACUCCUCCCCCUCACCGUCCCCAGUCGUAUUCCCUGGAAGACAGGCGGAAAAGCCUCCGCCGCUCCGACCAGCAUAAGCGAGAAGCGGCUUCCUUUCCGCAGCGCGCUGCUUGAGCCCCAGAACCGCCGCGGCUCCGGCUCCGCAACAUCGAAGACCGCGACCACCACCGGCCCCGGGUCCAAGCCCGGCGCGGGCGGCGCGCGCGGCGCGGGCGCGGCUUCAGCACC